UCAAAUGGACCCACGCCAGCCAAAUGAAUGCAUCCCCCCUACAGCAGCUUCGGUCCUGUUUGAGUAAAAGGGGAUCGAGCCAAGGAAAAAUUAGAGCGGGAGGGGCCGCGGCGGCGAUCUCACGGGCUGCUUACUCUACUUGGCCGGCCGCAUGACCAGCGGAGGUGCUAAUGGCGACCGACUACCUCGUGCCCCUAGUGGACAGGUCAAAAUGGGCAUUAUUUUCUGGAGGUUGGAGGUUAAUUUCUUUGCCUAAGGAUUGCUCAAAAAUCAACUGCAGGUUACCCAUCUUCGUGAAUGAGGCGUGCAGUGUAGCUAUUCUAAUGGACAUGGUGUGUGGCGGAGCUCCGGCGCAGGAUGAAUCGGGCGACGGAUCUAGAUGGGGAUAGAAGAAGCGGGGAACAGUGCAGUGGGAGGAUUUGGUGGCCAGCGUGGGGGGCAGCGUAGUGGUGCGCCCUACGGCGAGAAGACAAGUGGUGAUGCAGGUUGCAGAGCCGUGUCCGAUUUCAGUGAGAGUGAAAUUGAUAACGCGGAUGUGAUUGAGCAAGGCGACGCCCAGAUGGCACACAUGUGAUAUCUUUAAUCUCUGUUUUCCAUCAGCUAGCAGAAGCGCAGUAGCCAUCAGGUUGAUCACCUCCACCAUGACAAAAAGGACACCUUGUCCCAGCAGGGUCGGCACACUCCGCUCCACUGAAAUUACAGGACCGGACGCCGUGUCCGGGGAGAAUUGGUGCACUGGAGCAAACGGUUCGGGUAUAUACAGAUAAGUUGGGUGAGCAUGCUGCUAUUGGGCUAACAUCGGACUCUGUGGGAGAAACCAAAUAUUUUUACAAUCUUUAUUCACGGAAGCAUGGUUUCGGCAUCAGAUAUGGGAAAAGUAGGCUUAACAUCGAGAAGACAAAGUGUAUGCAGGAAGUUGUCUAUGGAUAUGCUCUGGGAAGCCAAAUAUCAGAAAACAGCAGGUCCUGCCGGUGCGAGUGCCCAGCCAUGAUUCGAUUGCUCUACGCAGCUGACAAUGGGGUACACCUCGUUUGCCGCUGCAGUCAGAGAUGCAGUUGACGGCGAGCAGUUAGAUAUGUUCGCGAUGAUGAUGAAGGGGUCGGCUCAAUCAACGUGGAAGAUGGAUCAACAGGCGCUUGGCUAGACGGAAAGGCAACGCAGAUAAACUUUGCUUGGUGGAAUUUACUGUGAGGGUUAGAGUUGGUAGCCAUACCCUUGACAGGAUUGCUCAUGUUGGGACGACGGGGUAGGUGGGAGCUGUGUGGAGACAUGGGUGGCUUGCGCCGUAACGUCCUAACGGAGCUAUAACUCUGAGACGGACGUCGGUGCAUUAAAUGGCAGCAGUGUGGGGCCAUUGCACUGUUGAAUAAUUGACCCACGCUCAGGAAUACAACCCAGAAUACAUAGCAUGUCACGCAUCACGAGGAGAGUUGGUGGUCCCGAUAUCAGGAGCAUCUGGACCGGGAGCCAAAUUGCUUUUCGGACAGUCCCACACUAGGACUAUGCAAAAAUUGACUCGUAAUACUUAUGUACUCCCUCUGUAAACUAAUAUACGAGCGUUUAGAU